UUUUGUCAACGAACUCACUGGAUUAUCUAUCCCUGCUAAGGCCUCUUAGGGGCUCAGGGAUGUUUGAGGUUUUGAAUUUCCAGCUUUUAAGGUUUCCAGUAUUUGAAAAUAGAAAGAAACACUAAAUGGGUCUUAAAAAAACUUAUGUGUUAAAUAUUCAAUCCACUUGGAGUAUUUUCAGAAUCGUGUGAUAUCCCUUGAGAGAAAUGGCAACAUGUUAAGACAAAGUGGGGGGCCCUGUGAAUGGGAAGUUGGGCCAAGCAACUACUCUGUCCUCAGCAUCAUAUUCUUUGCCCCUCUCCUGUAGGCUGUGGCCCCCAGUCUUGACUCUACGGUGAAAUGCUGGGCACUUGGAUAUCACCCAACCGAGAGAGGGCAAAGGACCAGCUUGUUCUCUCUGCAGCUAGACGAGCUGUACCCGCUGCAGGCAAACAACCAGCAUUUGUCAGCAAGCUGCACCAACAAGAUGCAGAAGAGAGAGCCCAAGCAGAGGAGGGCAGCUCAGACGCACGUGGUGCCAAGCCCCCCUCAGGGGACUGAUGGAUUAAACUGCAGGGCUUCCCUGCAGGGCAGUGGUCUUUGGCUGCUAAAAAGGUCCUGGUGUAUCUCACCGAGAGGCAAGUUCACCGUAUGUUCUGAAGUAGCAAAACAGGGGAGAACAAAGGCCUUAUUUGUGUGUAUGGGUCUGUGCAGACGUGAUUAAGGAUGUCGAGAUGGCCUCAUGAUACCCCAGGUGGGCCCGAAGCGCAACGAUAAAUGUCCUUAUAAGAAAAAGGCCGAGAGAGAUUUGAGACACACAGAGCAGGUCAUGUGAAGAGGGAUGCAGAGGCGGGUACGAUGAACACCACAGCCACCAGCCUCUGGAAGAAGCACGAAGCGGAUUCUCCCUUCGAGUCUCUGUGGGGAGCACCGCCCGGGCCACACCUUGACUUCAGAC